rnacentral:lncRNA from 1 species
AGGGGUUAAGCAUCCUUUGAAAUCCACAAAUGUGGAUCCCGACUGAAUUCAUUUUUUUUCAAAUUGAGGAGGAGAAUAAAAUAAUGUACAAAUAUAAUAAACAUGCAAUAUACACAAGUAAUAAAGUAGACAAGUAAUAUGAGAAACAACUUAAUAUUUGUCUAUCGUCAACAAUAUACAUCAUAAUGAAUAUAACAUUCGAACUUUAUUCGAAUGACUUUGAUGAGAAGUGACUUCGGAGUACCUGUAAAGACACUUAGUAAAAGUGUUAGUAAUAAAUAAAUAUGAAUAAAAAUAAGUGAAUUAAACAAUAACUUAAAAAUAAACAUCCGUCUUAUUAACAUGAGAGGCCUUAGAAAUCGACGGUAAUUUCUUCAUCGGCCAUUUUUAACAAAUAAAAUAUAUAAACUUAAACUAAAUUUUCGUCUUUUACAAUGUAAAGGCCUCCAAAAUCGACGGAGAGAUUUUCUCAUUGACCAUUUUUAACAAACAAAAAAUUAAAUCCACAAAUAAACCAAUGAUAACGCAAUGGUAAAAUGAAAUAAUAAUAAGCAAGAUUAUAUUCCGAUCCAAAGUAAUCAACGAAGUAAACCACAAAAACUAUCAAAAGACAAACCACAUAUAUAUAGAAACAAUCAUUAAAAGAUUAUUGGAAAAGAGUCUAAAAGUAACAUAAAAUUAACAACUAGAUAUGAUAGCUAAGUAAUUGAUUUUAACAUUAUAACAAUAACAAAAUAAUCAAAAGACGGUAAUAAGCAAAACAAAAUAGAACAUUGGAAAGUGGCAAACAAAUACAAAAAGAAACAUUUGAACAGUAGCUUGAGAUUUUUUUAUUUUUGUAAACAUGUUUAUCAUCAAAAUAUAUAUAUAUAUUAAAUAAUAACAAAUAAGGGUAAGCAAAUCUAGGAAAAUUAUACACCAACAACUAUAACGUUAAGUGGUCAAACAAAUGUCAGCAAUAAAAUAAACAAAAAUAAUAGUAAUAAAAAUAAAUAAAAUAAUGUAGAUCAAUGAACAGGAAAAGAGGUUAGCUAGUUAUAAAUGAAGUUUGACCGAAGUUUAAUCUUUCCGGUGAAAUCUGAAAUGAGAUAAUAUACACUAUUUUACUUGAACAAAAAUAAUAACAUGAAAAUAAUUCAAAUCAGUUUCAACAAUCAUAAUAAAUAAAUAAUAACCAACAAAGAGAACAAAAUAUCAGUAAUAAGAAUCAAACCCAACAAAAAUAAAAUAGAACAAAGGUAACAAAUGAAGUUUCAACUCAAGCAAAAAGCCAAAACAUUAAUAUCCACCGGAGAAGAUAAAAUAUUGUUGGAAAAAAUAUUGGCCGGAGUUUGAACUUCUUCGGCCAGAUCUGAAAGAAAAAUGAAAUGAAAGAGAAAUAGUUUAUUUACCGGAGUUGGAGUAUUCGGACUGAAUCUGGUCUUUUAAUGCAACUGAUUUCGCCAGAGAGUGUGGGAUUUGUUCG